GCUAUGCAGAAGGAAUUGUAAACUGGCACUCAGAGACUGGAAGGUUGAGCUGCAGUAUCCUCCUGGAUCAAAUGUGAUAAAAGACAAGAGUAAUGAAAGAGGCCUAAACCCAGUAGGAAGACCUGCGAUUCAACUGAUGAAAUGAUAGAGGAUAGCUAGUGAUUCCUUCCUGGGAGACUAAACGUGAGUGAGGAGACAGGUGCUGAAAUGACUGAUGUCAGAAGCAAUCUUGAGCCAGGAAAUAACAUGAGGAAAUUGAAAGGAAAUCAUUAGUUACUGGGCAAACCUUGCAGGAAAUGGGAGGAAAAAUUGUAGGAGUCAGAGGGGAUGGAGUACACCUGGAGAGCAUGGACUAUUGAAUCAACGAAAUGGUGGAUGUACAGAGCAUGAAGUGGGAAGCUAUCCCUUGGACAUCUGCUCUUUUGUGACAAGGAAAUGGAAGGGCACUGUAUAUGGGAGAAAGGGGAGCUUGGGGGGGCUGGUAGCAGGCAUGGGACCAUGGUUGGGUUAUAUUUUAU
rnacentral:lncRNA from 1 species